rnacentral:rRNA from 1 species
UACCAGCACCCCGAGUGGUCGGGACGAUUAUUGGGCCUAAAGCAUCCGUAGCCGGUUCUACAAGCCUUCCGUUAAAUCCACCUGCUUAACAGAUGGGCUGCGGAAGAUACUAUAGAGCUAGGAGGCGGGAGAGGCAAGCGGUACUCGAUGGGUAGGGGUAAAAUCCGUUGAUCCAUUGAAGACCACCAGUGGCGAAGGCGGCUUGCCAGAACGCGCUCGACGGUGAGGGAUGAAAGCUGGGGGAGCAAACCGG